rnacentral:lncRNA from 1 species
GUAAACAUCAUAUCUUGCUCGUCACACAUCAGUGCUAAUGUACUGGGAGACAUUGGCCUUCUUUUUGAUACAUCAACUUCAUCUGAAACAGAUGUGUCAGGGCUAGCCUUCUUGGCAUGGUCUCCACUUAAGACAUCAUCAGUCAAAGGUUUCAUAAUCCCAUGAUCCUUUUGGCUUUGAUGGUUAUCUUGUGUUGAUGAAGGCAGUGAGCAUUCGCUGCAGUCCUCUGCCUGCUUCUCCGCAGUAUUUCUUUCCUCUAGAAGUAUUACCAUAAGUUAGCAGAUUAGUUUCAUAUAUCAAAGAGGGAAAAAUCAACUUGCUACAUAACUCGGACUGUUAAAAAUGCUUUGAAUUAUCCAUACAGAAACCCGACAGUUGAACAAGAAUCUGUCAAGUUUAGUGAAACAGGGAUAUGGGGUGUGUGAUAUUUUGUUGGUCAUAAGAUCAGAAAGCAUAUUUAUAAUGUUCGAUAUUUAUAAUGUCAUAAGAUGUGGAAUUUGAAUAGUUGACAUUACAUUUGAUAACACUCUAGGAGUGUAUUCAGGCUUUUCAACUUAAUUUUUUCACAUAUUGGCAUGAAGUCAUUGAACUAUUUAACUAGAUGUCAAGAAUGAAGUGACAAAUUAUUUAAAAUAAUAUCGUUAAUUUCAAAGCAAUUACUUUAAGGCCUGCCACUACAAGGGAAAAAGGUCUUUCAUUGGAAAUGAAUUGUGUACAAAAAUCAAUUCUAGAGGAAAAUGACCUGAUAAAUAUCAACUAGUGUUGAAGAUAUCUGAAUCAAGUCGUUGUUGAAUAUCCAUAACCCAGAAAAGAAAAUGAUCCAAAAACAAAUAGGAAAGGGAAAUGAAAUAAAUACAACCAAGAUAUUUUUAAUGAGUAACAAUAAUAGCAAAGGAAAGAGAGCUCAUUGAUAAGCAAAUCAGUUAAUUGAGAAUUAUAAUGCACUUACAUAAUUGGAAGUUUUUCAUUUUAUUAUGGACAAAUUGAAAUACUAUCCAAUAUCCAUACAUUAAUUUAGUGGAGACUUAACAUUUAUUAAAAAUGUGAUUCCCUGUCUGGUUUCCGCUGGCUCAAACCUAUUGAAGGGACUACUAGACAACUUACAACAAUUUUUCUAGAUAUUCUACAAGUUAAGAACAACAAUAAGUGACGUACAUACCAUGUAUUCAACAAACUCCAUAAAACUAACUGCAAAUUGACUGAACUUUUCAGUCUUUCUUAUUAAUACCUGAAGGAAUUUUAAACAACGGCAUUGCUAGCUAGUUAUAUUAAUGUGAACAUCAUGCGUGGAAAGCUUUUUGACUGACAAAUUGAAGUAUAAAUCUCUUAAAAAGAUACAGAAACCAAGACGUUUAGAGAACUUUAGGGAAAACUAAUAAUCUGUGCAAUUUGUGAAUCCUUAUAUAGCCAUAAUUACCUGCAAGCAUUUUGGCAGCCUCUCCUGAAUAUACCACUAACACUGAGCAAAGCUCCUUCAAGUCCUGGGGCUGAAUGAUGUCAGCUAAGAGAGACCUUAAGGCAAAAUGAAAUAGUUAUUAAGUUGUCUGCAAGUGCUUCUGAAUAAUUCUUCAGAAUGUAAAUAUACCUGUAAGUAAAUUUUGAAGGACCCAACGCUGACCCAGUACCAGGACGAGCACCAGGAAAUGAUGACUGGGAAGUGGAAGGUACAGAAGCCUUGAUUUGGUCAGCCUGUAAGUGCAAAAAAAUAGAAAUCGAAGCUAAUUAUAGAUUGUUCCUCCAGUCAAUGUUUAAAAAGGUUCGACCAGACACUGAGGCAAUUUAUAUCCAUGAAACAAGACAUAAGCCUCAAUGCAGACCAACAAAACAAUUUUUAUAGUUGAUUGUAAUAAACCAGACAGCAUGUUUAAGAUCCUAACAAAACAAUUUAACAAAAUUAAAAGCCUAAUUUGCGAAAAAACGUAUAAUAGAUCAAUAUGGAAGCAAAGCAAAUAGUAAAUCUUCGAAUUAGUUAUCACAUAACAAUAUCAAUAAAUCACUAAUACAACUAGAGAAAGCCUAAAAGCCUUCCAUAAAUUAUCAUCAUAUUUGAUUCCCCUAUUAUCGUUCUCGUCACCAUAAAUUUCCAUUCUAUUUUCUCAUUUCCAUUUGCAAUAGUGCAAUAUUUUUAGAACCUCAAAAUUUUAAGUAUUUUAUUGCAUACAAUUUAAUUGCCAAUUAAUAGAAAUGUUAUGUCUAGUCAAGUCUUUAUGCAAGUCAAUUUAUUAUGCUCAAUAGUUAAUUGAAUCUAUAUAGAUAUCCUUAAUAGUUGAAGGACCAAAGUCGAACUAAGUAUUAAAUUUUACACUUUUAAUUGGACNCUACACAAGAAUAAGCAAUCAAUUAUCGCCUAUUUUGUUACUUGAUCGUUUUCGAGAGACUGUUUUUCCGUUGAUCACAUUUUUUGCUCUGUCGAAAGCUCAACACGAUACUCGAUCUUCCAUGAAUGCACAAAUGCCUUAGUACACAGUACAUGAUCCUCAAUAUGGUGAAGCUAUAGCAGAUUGUCUAGGGUUCAUUAAAAAGUCCGCAAUCAUAGACGACUAGGACUCGAGUGGUACCUGUUCCAUUGAUCCUGCUACUCGAUUCGUUUUAAUGUAACUGUGAAUCAAUUAUCUUGUAAUCUGACUUUGAUUUUCUUUCUUCCUUUUUGUUGUUUUAUUGUGUGGUAGAGGCUGUGAUAUUGAAGGAUUAGCUUAGAUGACAAUUUUUCAACAUAGAAUUGUAAAGUUGAUUUUAUUACAGCAAGUAUUAGAAAAGUUUGCUUAUUUUUUAGCAACAAGCUAAGUCAAAACAUGAUCUUCCAGUAAGAUUAGUUUUCAUGCUCUUGUAGAGGCGUCUACGGGCCAGAUCGACCCGGGCAAAUGCCAGCCGGUCCCAGUCAAUCACCAGCCAGAGUCAGCAUGGGUUCUGUGGUGGGUCAAGUCAAGUAUAUCUCACCACUUUUGUUGGAGGUCCAUCUUGAUCUGGGUCAAAUUAAGCCUAAACCAUUUCCCAUGGAGCUGUUAGCACNNNNNNNNNNNNNNNNNNNNNNNNUACCCCCUUCCCCCCCCCCCCCCCCCACAAAAAGAACUGCUAAAUUCUGUACAAAUUUGUCGACAGAAAUGAGGUGGCAGUUAUUUGGCCCUUAAUUUCAAUUUCAUUCAUUCAAGUCAAGGGACAAAAAAUUGUCAUCUCAUAUUCUAUCAACAAAUCUAUAACCCAAUUUCUGUACAAGUAGCAAAAUUAUUUUUUUCUUGCUCCUGCUGGCUCAGACUAAGCUAGACACAGCUUGCCUUCAAAGGUGGCCAGCCACAACCCAGUGCCAAAUGUUGAGCUAGUCACCAUGUGUCUAUCCAACCCAAUCCAACACACUUUUACACCACUGUUAUAUUGUAGUGAUUAAAUCCGACUUCGAUGUGUCGCAUCAAUAAAAUCAGCUCAUGCGGAGACCAAUGCAAGCCAUCUAGGCUCAACAAACUACCUUGAACUAGCACGGCACUGGGGAAAAAAAAAAGAUUUUAAAUUAAUUUAUUGAUAACAUGAAAAAAAAAAUAGAAUGUAAUUUCACAACUGCACCAAAGAAAAGCCUAAUCAAUAAUGGCAAGAUAUUACAAAGAUGCAGCAGCAUGUUUAGGACCUUCAACUCUUUUUAGACCUCCUUUUCAGUUCGUGAGUUUACACCCCCAUUUCAGAAGGGGAUGAUAUUAUCAAAUUGUGGUUGUCAUUACUGGGAGAUAUUGCAGUAGCCGUCGGAGAUGUCAUGAGUGGCAUGGCAGUAAUUUUUGCAACACCAUUGUUAAUAGGCUGUUGAGUCCUGCUUUCACUUCUCAUAUUUAUAGUGUCAUUGCUGGUUAUUUCUGUUUCAUCUGGUCGUGACAGCAAAGAAUACUUCGUUUCUGUAUGAGAACAGAGAAUUACUCAAAAUUAUGAAAUAAAGGUAAAGUAAGUAGAAUUCUUAAGCAACAAUCAAAUCAUGCGACCUCAUUGAACCUCAUGAACAUUUGAAUACCAAGCAUCAUAAAGUGCAUACCCAGUAGUAGACUGAACUGCUCAGGACAGUAAUGAACAGGAUUUAAACUUCAUUUCCUUCGUUAAUACAGUUGAGUACUAUAUAAUCCUCUCUUCCAAACAUGCUCAUUAUGAUACACAGGACUGCACAGGGAUGAACAUAAUCAAAGAAGCAAAAUAUGUGAAAUAUUUGUUCAUCAUUGUGCAGUCCAAAAUACCAAACUUACUUGAAAAGACAUUUCUUCUUCUAACUGAUAGACAUAUCCCUUGUUUUACGCAGAUUAACAUGAUAGGCAGUUUGCACAUACAUCUAUCUUAAUUAUUGAAUAUUUCUCUCAGUAAAUGGGUAAAUUCAGUAGGAAGAGGUUCGGAGAAGAUUUCUAUUAAUGGCUUGAUGCUUUACAGGCAAGACCAACCCCUCGAUCAACUUGGCUUCCCUUUCAGUGUCCAGCAAUCCCAAUGUUUCUUACAAUUUCGCUUCUAAAAUGUACACCACUAUUAACUUGUUGGUACAGAAGAUUGGAUAUCACCGGAUAGUAUUAUGGAAGAAAUUGUUAAAUCUUGCUCAAUUUACUAUGAGUAUUCACACUAGAAAGGAGGAAGCAACCUUGCAUAUUAUUAUGCUAGUCAAGCUGCAUCUAAUUUUUCACUUUCUUGUUUGUGGGUGGAGAAGGUGUACGGGGGACAGGGGAGUAAGUGAAAACAUGUCACCUUAUCUACUGUAGGCCCCUAUUUGAGCUACAUUAUUUUCAAAAAAAUAUAUUCUGCAAUAGUAAUUUGACAUCAUUUCAACCACACAUUUUUCAAUAAAAUAAUAUUACACACAAAUCUAAAACUUUUCCUUAUUUUUAACCACACAUUUCCCUUUGUUUUGACAUCAAUAAUGCAUUUUUUUCCCUAUAAUGUGACUCAAACAAGCCCUAGAUAUAAACAUUCUUAAAAAUUUUAGGCUUCCCUUGUUAAAGAAAAAAGGUGCAUUGUACUUAGGAUGAUGGCCUAUGGACAAUUUGUAAGGUCUCCAAUGAGUUUUAGUGGCUUUGUCCUAGUAAAAAGUAGCCAAAUUUUUCUUAUUUUUUUUAACAGUCUGACAGAAAAGAUCGAGGUUAAAAGCCUAAUGGACAGAGUAAUAGAAGGAUGUGAAUUAGCACCAUUAAUUUAAGUUACAGAUUAGUAAGCCAAUAAUUAUGAGUGUUUGAGUUGCAUUGACAAAUGAAACUAGAUAAAUUUUUUGACAAAACUUGUGGAGUAGAAUAAACUUUUAGUUGAAUUUCUUAGGAGUUUUAAGUUUAAUCAGAAAAUUAAACCACAAAUUAUAAUGAUUCUCAAAAAACUGAGGUCGUGGCCUCAUUAUAUUUGGCAUCCACAGCGAAGGGAGGAAAUGAUUUCUCAUGUAUCAGUUAUUGUUUCAUUAAUGAAACUUGACCGCAACAAAUAUGUUUAUAAAUUCAUAAUAAAGGUACAAGAGUAAAGCAAGAGAUGUGAUAGAACUUACCUUUUAUUUCUCCUAACGUGACGAGACGGUUAAGACAAUCACGGAAUUUUGUCAAAACAAUUCUUUCUUGCUCUAUAUAGGCUUCAGUGAGGCAUUUCCCUUGCUGCAACUGGGAAGACACGGUACUAUGGUCCACUAAUCCAUUAACUGUAGUGGUGGUAAACAUCAUAUCUUGCUCGUCACACAUCAGUGCUAAUGUACUGGGAGACAUUGGCCUUCUUUUUGAUACAUCAACUUCAUCUGAAACAGAUGUGUCAGGGCUAGCCUUCUUGGCAUGGUCUCCACUUAAGACAUCAUCAGUCAAAGGUUUCAUAAUCCCAUGAUCCUUUUGGCUUUGAUGGUUAUCUUGUGUUGAUGAAGGCAGUGAGCAUUCGCUGCAGUCCUCUGCCUGCUUCUCCGCAGUAUUUCUUUCCUCUA